CCGCUGCGUCAUCUGGGGAGUAGCCAGCCGUUCCUGACGGAACGGGCCGUUCGUCAACAUAUUUGGCCGAGAGGCCAUGGCGGGCGGGAUGCGAGGGGUGGUUCGACGUCCUAUCCGCAUC
rnacentral:sRNA from 2 species